UCUCGCCGUUGCUGAUAUCGCAUUGGGUCAAAAGCACGCGCCGGUUUUCCGUAUCAAACCGCACACGGACCGCGAUGCGGUUGAAGAUCGAGGGCGCCUCUCCGUCAUUGCCGGCAAGCAGAAUGGUUCCGCCGCUCAAACCGAGCUGCCAGUUCGGNGGUAUGCUGUCAUUAGGCGGUUCGAGAUGCGCCAGCAAAGUGAUGCGAUUGGCGCCUGCAUUAACAUGAAAUGGCGCCACCAUGACCCGGCGUCCGGCAUCCCAUUCGACACGCGCAUCGGCGUGGUCGA
rnacentral:misc_RNA from 1 species